UACGGAGGGGGCUAGCGUUGUUCGGAAUUACUGGGCGUAAAGCGCACGUAGGCGGCUUUGCAAGUCAGAGGUGAAAGCCCCGGGGCUCAACCCCGGAAUAGCCUUUGAGACUGCAUCGCUAGAAUUGUGGAGAGGUAAGUGGAAUUCCGAGUGUAGAGGUGAAAUUCGUAGAUAUUCGGAAGAACACCAGUGGCGAAGGCGGCUCACUGGCCCGGUACUGACGCUGAGGUGGCGAAAGCGUGGGGAGCAAACAGG
rnacentral:rRNA from 1 species